CGCCUCUUGAAACUACAUAAGAGGUCCAGCCUGCCCAGUGACUAAGUUCAACGGCCGCGGUAUCCUAACCGUGCGAAGGUAGCGUAAUCACUUGUUCUUUAAAUGAGGACUAGUAUGAAUGGCACCACGAGGGUUAUGCUGUCUCCUUUUUCUAAUCAAUGAAACUGAUCUCCCCGUGAAGAAGCGGGGAUAUAUUUAUAAGACGAGAAGACCCUAUGGAGCUUUAAAUCAUGUAACACUGGCUUUCACAUUAAAAUAUUCCAGAAUUUUCAUAAUUAUUCUAGCCACUAUGAUUACUAGUUUUAGGUUGGGGUGACCACGGAGCAAAAAUUAACCUCCAUGUUGAACGGAGCUACUCCUGAGCCAAAAGCCACGACUUUAAGCACUAAUAAAUUAACAUUAAUUGACCCAAUAUUUUUGAUCAACGAACCAAGUUACCCUAGGGAUAACAGCGCA
rnacentral:rRNA from 1 species